rnacentral:rRNA from 1 species
UCGGAAAAGAUAACCGCUGAAAGCAUCUAAGCGGGAAACUUGCCUCAAGAUGAGAUCUCACUGGGAACUUGAUUCCCCUGAAGGGCCGUCGAAGACUACGACGUUGAUAGGCUGGGUGUGUAAGCGUUGUGAGGCGUUGAGCUAACCAGUACUAAUUGCCCGUGAGGCUUGACCAUAUAACACCCAAACA